GAUGAACGCUGACAGAAUGCUUAACACAUGCAAGUCAACUGUGGCGGACGGGUGAGUAACGCGUAAAGAACUUGCCUCACAGAUAGGGACAACAUUUGGAAACGAAUGCUAAUACCUGAUACUGUGAGAGAGCUUUGCGUCACAUUAGCUAGUUGGAGAGGUAACGGCUCAGCAAGGCGAUGAUGGGUAGCCGGCCUGUGAGGGUGAUCGGCCACAAGGGGACUGGGACACCGCCCGUACGCCUACGGGAGGCAGCAGUGGGAGAUAUAGGACAAUGUGCCAAAGUCUGAUCCAGCAAUUCUGUGUGCACGAUAAAUUUUUCGGAAUGUAAAGUGCUUUCAGUUGGGAAGCAGUACCAACAGAAGAAGUGACGGCUAAAUACGUGCCAGCAGCCGCGGUAAUUC
rnacentral:rRNA from 1 species